GAUGAACGCUGGCGGCGUGCUUAACACAUGCAAGUCGAACGAAGCGUAUUCAAGCGAAGUUUUUGGACAAAGCGAGGAUAUGACUUAGUGGCGGACGGGUGAGUAACGCGUGGGCAACCUGCCUUUCACAGCGGGAUAACAGAGGGAAGCUUCUGCUAAUACCGCAUAUACCUUUAUAACGCAUGUUAGGGAGGGGAAAGAAUUAUCGGUGAGAGAUGGGCCCGCGUCCGAUUAGAUAGUUGGUGGGGUAACAGCCUACCAAGUCAACGAUCGGUAGCCGGCUUGAGAGAGUGAACGGCCACAUUGGGACUGAGACACGGCCCAAACUCCUACGGGAGGCAGCAGUGGGGGAUAUUGGACAAUGGGGGCAACCCUGAUCCAGCGACGCCGCGUGAGUGAAGAAGUAUUUCGGUACGUAAAGCUCUAUCAGCAGGGAAGAAAGAAGACGGUACCUGACUAAGAAGCCCCGGCUAACUACGUGCCAGCAGCCGCGGUAAUACGUAGGGGGCAAGCGUUAUCCGGAAUUACUGGGUGUAAAGGGAGCGUAGACGGUUAAACAAGUCUGAAGUGAAAUGCCGGGGCUCAACCUCGGAGCUGCUUUGGAAACUGUAGAACUGGAGUGUCGGAGGGGUAAGCGGAAUUCCCAGUGUAGCGGUGAAAUGCGUAGAUAUUGGGAGGAACACCGGCGGCGAAGGCGGCUUACUGGACGACAACUGACGUUGAGGCUCGAAGGCGUGGGUAGCAAACAGG
rnacentral:rRNA from 1 species